rnacentral:rRNA from 1 species
AACGAACGCUGGCGGCAUGCCUAACACAUGCAAGUCGAACGACACCUUCGGGUCUAGUGGCGCACGGGUGCGUAACGCGUGGGAACCUUCCCUUAGGUUCGGAAUAACUCCCCGAAAGGGGUGCUAAUACCGGAUAAUGUCUUCGGACCAAAGAUUUAUCGCCUUUGGAUGGGCCCGCGUUGGAUUAGCUAGUUGGUAGGGUAAAAGCCUACCACGGCGACGAUCCAUAGCUGGUCUGAGAGGAUGAUCAGCCACACUGGGACUGAGACACGGCCCAGACUCCUACGGGAGGCAGCAGUGGGGAAUAUUGGACAAUGGGCGAAAGCCUGAUCCAGCAAUGCCGCGUGAGUGAUGAAGGCCUUAGGGUAGUAAAGCUCUUUUACCCGGGAUGAUAAUGACAGUACCGGGAGAAUAAGCACCGGCUAACUCCGUG